AUUGAACGCUGGCGGCGUGCCUAAUACAUGCAAGUCGAACGCAGUGGGGACGGGUGAGUAACACGUGGGUAACCUCCCAUCAGAGGGGAUAACCCUUGGAAACAGGUGCUAAACCGAUACUGAUGGAUGGUCCCGCGGUGCAUUAGCUAGUUGGUGAGGUAACGGCUCACCAAGGCGACGAUGCAUAGCCGCACGGAGAGGGUGAUCGGCCACACGGGAACUGAGACACGGCCCAGACUCCUACGGGAGGCAGCAGUGGGGAAUCUUGGGCAAUGGGCGAAAGCCUGACCGAGCAACGCCGCGUGAGUGAAGAAGGUGUUCGGAUUGUAAAACUCUGUUGUCAGAGAAGCGGUAUCUAACCAGAAAGCCACGGCUAACUACGUGCCAGCCGCCGCGGUAAUUC
rnacentral:rRNA from 1 species